GAUCAUGGCUCAGGAUGAACGCUGGCGGCGUGCCUAACACAUGCAAGUCGAACGGACUUACAUUGAAGCCUAGCGAUAUGUAAGUUAGUGGCGGACGGGUGAGUAACGCGUGGGCAACCUGCCUUGUACUGGGGGACAACAGUUGGAAACGACUGCUAAUACCGCAUAAGCGCACAGCUUCGCAUGAAGCGGUGUGAAAAACUCCGGUGGUACAAGAUGGACCCGCGUCUGAUUAG
rnacentral:rRNA from 1 species